CAGUUUGAUAUCGGGCACACGCACGCAAUGCACACACAAUUACAAACAAAGAGAGAGAAUACACUUGAUUGGACGCCGCGACAAUGAGAGUGGAGGAGGUGGAGGGGAGUGAUUUGAGAGUGGUGUUACGAAUCACCUGGAUCGUUGACAGAGACAGCUCGAUCGAGAGGCACGCAUGUAAGAGCGCAUCCGAACGGAAUGAAUUUGCUUCGCACACACGAGUAUAUCGAUUAGCUCGUGCCACGUUUGUUUUUCUUCUGUUCUUCUUGUAUUUUCUUAAGGGAAAGUGGAUCGUCCUGUUAUUUAUAAAGUUUUCCUUUCUCACGUACACGUAUAUAUUUGAAUUCAAUGCGUUUGAUAAAUUUUUGCAUGUGAUUAUUUCGAUUAUGGUUCAUAUAAAAUAAAACAGAGAUAAUGAAAUAAAAUAUUAGUUAAUCUAAACGUUUCUUGAUUAUAUAUAUUUUUUAAUUUUAAUGCAAUUUUUUUUUAUAGUCGAGGAAGAUUAUUUCGUAGAAAGAUUUUGCGUAAAUGAAUUCCUGAAAGUUGAAUUUAUAAAUUAAUUUUUCAGAAUUGUUUAUAACUUUCGUUCUUAGAACAAGAAACGAUUCAAAAUUUAAUACAUUAAAUUUCGUAGUAUUAAUAUAAUGUUCGUCGAGCAAAGAAGAUUCCUUUAUCUUUGUAUCAUUCUGGAUGUACUUAAAUCUUUCUUUUUUAUCAUCAUUCUACAUAUAAAAGAAUUAUUAAAAUCAAAUCCAUUUAUACAUAGCAAGUGGAAAUAUGUAAAAGUUCCACUGAUUCACGAAUCAUCGUAUGAAGAGACCAAACGUCUCGCGAGGGAAACAAAGGGAACUCGGAUUAACUGUGACCCCGUCAUUCGAACGAGCAAAGAAUGGAGUGGCUGUGGGUUUGAAGUAUCUCGAGACGUGGUGGCGCCAGCAGGAAUACACGUGCAACAGGUGAAACUUAGAUAUCGAGUGGCUCGCUUAUUUCACCCUGUUUGAGCCGAAGAAAAAUUUCAUCGUGAGACAUUCUAAAGACAUUCUCUGUUUACUAUGCAGGUUUGGACGACAGAGAUUAAUGAAGAGAUCGAGUCUCCUUUGAUAAAACAUUAAACGAUGGAAUUGUGAUUUGUAGUUUAGGGGAAAAAUUUAUUGAUUAUGAAAAUUCGCUUGAUAAUUCAAUAAUUAAUUAGAAAUUGUUAACGAGACAUUUGUGAGAUUAUUUAGAAGUUUAUCCAAUGUGGAUAUCAUGCUAGAAAUAUUUGAUAUGUUUUAA